ensembl:lncRNA
ACGCACACACACACACGCACACACACACAUACACACACAUCUACAACUUCUACCAGUGCAGUGUGCCAAUCUCCUCUUAACCUAGGUAAUUAGCAGCAGCCUGUUGUCACUGUAAUAUGCUGCGGUCCCAUUACAGUGUCAGGCGGCCACUAGACACGUAUGAUCCCAGGACUCUGUUUAGCAUUCCAAAGAGACAGGCAAGCAAUGGGCCUGACAAGCUGUCUGUCUAUCUCCAUCAGGACGGAGUCCCAAAGCCCCGAAGUCCUCCUCAGCAAGCACGAAGAUCUCCCUAAGUCACAGUCUGCAAGAGUCUGCAAAAAUCACUCACACCCAUCAUUUUUUUUCUUUUCUCUUAAUUUUUCAGGAUCGUUUUCUUUAUUUUAUUCCAAGUGCCAACCAAUUACCCAUGCUCCUGUAAGAUCCCGUCACAAGUCUGGCAACUGUCCCGAGCCUUUUUCCGUUUGGCAGGGAGACUGGGGGGGGGGAGCUGAAGGCGGAGUGACAGAGCUGCUGCCGCACUUGUGUUGGCAAGUGUGUGUGUGUGUGUGUGUGUGUGUGUGUGUGUGUGUGUGUGUGUGUUAGGUAGGGAGAAAGAAGUAAUGACAGCUUUUAAGAGUGGCUGCUCUAGGACAGCAAACUUCAGCUCCAUCUCCACUAACCCCCUUCUCCCCACUCCUCCUCCCCACCUCCUCUCGCCAUCUCCACCACCUUGUCCCUGUGGACGCUCCUUCCAACUUGAACAUCCUUCAGAGGGUGCCGUUAUCUCCUCAAACCAAUUAUUUGAUUAGGAGACGGAAACCGCUUCAAUAAUUUGCUUUGCUAAUGAGGAGAUGAUGCCAGAGGAGCGGUCUGGCCAUUCCCUCAGUUCUCGUCCCUCUUCCGCUCUUGUCACGGAACAGCGCGCCGGACGGACGCGGGGGUUUAUGCUCGGGAAACAAAAGAAGAAUCGGACCGGAGAUUUUCGCACAGCUUCUCACCUCCUGAUCACAUCUGGGGAAUACCUUGCAAUACCACAGCAAUGAAACACAUUGAUUGUAGACUCUUGGACAUAGACUCUUGGACACAUAGACUCUUGGACUCACAUAGACUCUUGGACUCUCGUGUUCUGCUGCAUGUCCAGACUCCAAGCAGCAGUACUUCAUCUCAGCGAGCCCAGCUGCAGGUCACUCAGCAGCACAGAGAGCCAAUGGCACGGGUAACAUCAGGGACCGGCCCACCGGGCGACAGGGAAGAGACACUGAGAGACAGAGGGCUCCUCUGGUGCCAAUAUCCCCGUCCCUUUAUCUCUGCCAGUGUGACGCUCCCUUUCGUCCCGUCUCUGGUGCCAGGGAUCCGGUCUGCUUCCGCCAGCGGAGCCCCGCUGACACCCGUCACGUCAGAUGUCAGAUGUUCCCCAAAGGACAGGAUGCGCCGGCACCCGCUAGUCUCUCUCACAAAUCUACAUUUUUUUUGUUUUUUUCAGUGUAUGUGGGAGCAUGUCAUAAUGUUGCAAAUGUCGGCACCCCACCAGACGACAGCCUGCCCACUCCAAGCGAUGCAGCAUCUGGAGGAGGAUGGAGGUGCUGGGACAAAUUCAUUAGAUUUUACAGGCAGUCGCACUGAUUCACAACCCUGUCUUGUUUAACAGUGCCUGUGCUUUUCCGCUGCUCAUGUCCCUCUCUCUCCAUGCUCCGCAGUUUUGGUUGGACCCUCGUGACCCCUCUUGCACACAUCACUCCACACAGUCUGGCACCACUCGGGCGAGCCUGAAGCCGGGGGCAAAUGAAGAUAGCUGGGCAUAAAACAAAAUGAAGAUAGCUGGGCAUAUAACAAAAUGAAGAUAGCUGGGCAUAUAACAACAUGAAGAUAGCUGGGCAUAUAACAACAUGAAGAUAGCUGGGCAUAUAACAAAAUGAAGAUAGCUGGGCAUAUAACAACAUGAAGAUAGCUGGGCAUAUAACAACAUGAAGAUAGCUGGGCAUAUAACAACAGCUCUACAACAUGGAGGAAGGGGCACUGGAACAUAACCAGACAUGAUUCACAGGAAACUGUGAUGCGCAUAAUGGCCUAUUGUACCCUCUGUAACCAGAUCAUAAGCUCAGUAGGCUACUCAGCAAGGAGGGACCCGAAUGGCAUUUUUCAUACUGGUUUAGAGCCACCCCUUGCAAUCUGGAGCCAAGCACACACACAGCUCCAUUUAGUCAACAACAUCACCUUCCAGAUCCUCACAGUAAAGGUGGGCAGCUCACUGAAGCCUCUCCUUGUUUGCAUGAGGUGGGCCGAUACCAAACUCAAGAGCCCCUCUCUCCAACAGAGCUUAUCCCAGCACUCUGACAAAUGUGUCUCCAGCACGGGCUGAUGGAGAGCUCUGAUAAUGACCUGAUUGUAUCUCACUCAGUCUGUUCUCCCGCACUGGAUCUCUGUCAGCGCUGCUGUCAUGCUACACCCAGCGUGAGUGCUGGCUGGCAGGCGCUGCCUUGUAAAUCAGACAGACCUGGUUUCACUCACUGUGAGACCGUCCACAAGAGAGAUGCAGAAACUCAGGGCCAAGGCACACACACACAAAAAAAAGAAGAAGUCAGGAGGACAGUUUAAUUAUGGAUCUCGAAAUAAACCACCCCAACGUCUUUGUUGUUUGUUUCCAGUCAAACAGAUUGUCUUUUUCUUGUUUUUAAUGAAAGCUGUUCAUUAAACUCAAGGUUUUAUAAACUGAAAUGAUUAACUAAAAGUCGAGCCUCUUUAUGCCUGUUAGGCUGCAGUUAAGGGCUUUGGAUGGGAGAGGGGGAAGGCGUCUAUAAUUAAGGAGUCAGUGAUGAUAUACGAAAAGCAUCCUGACGAGUCUCCAAAGACACAAUAAAAGGCUGUUUGCUAACAAGCUAGUGCCAGUAAUGACGGCUGCUUCAAAGAGAGCAGGGCUCUCUGAAACGAGGGCGUUAAGUGGCGCUGACAGAUUCAGAAAUAAUUUUAGGACCUUCGUUUUGAACAGGUGACUAAAGAAGAAGAAAAAUCAAGAAAUGUUUUGAAGUUGACCUCUAGAAUAGUCUCAUUCCUGUAAACCUCCCAUAAAAGUGAGGUUAAAUACACAUACUAUUGUAGUUAUCAGACAUGUUAGCCUCAAAACACCAGGAUUAGCAAAGCCAGGCCAGACAAAAAAAACGAUUUAAAAACGAUUUAAACUUCAUACAUAACAACAAGCCGUUUAGAAUGAGAAUCUGUUUUUCAGGCUCUAUCUUCAUGUUUCAUGAAAAAAAAAAAAAAAAAAAUAUUUGAAUAAACAUACAUGCAGUAGCCAUGACAAAAGUCAAGUGAUAUAAAUACUCCUACGUGCCUCAUUUCAUCUUAGUUUGAGCGCUGCUGCCACCUGUGCUGUUAUUUCUAUGAUCGCAUGCUUAAAUCUAUAUUAUCCCCCAUACAUCUCCUGGAUUAUGACAUGGUAUAUUACAAAAUGGACACUAUGUGCAAUCAAUUUUCAGUUCGACUGCACGCUUUCUCUAUGAGGAGAUUGUCAUUAACUUGCAGAUUAUUCAUAUGUACUGGGCUUCUACUUGAUCCCCAAGGUAGGCUUCAAUCUAGGUCAUAAUUGUUCAUUGAACACUAUAAACACAAAGGAUAUAUCAUUUAUGAAGUUGUUAAGCAAGAGUAUUUUGCAGGGAAAGUGGCUAAAUAUUGUAAAAGAUGACAAAACUGUCAGUAUACCAUGUCACAGCACAGUUUACCUGAAAACUGUAGUAUAAUAGUCCUUUCAACUCUCUCUCUCUCUCUUAAUUUGCAUGAGAGUGUGUGUGUGUGUGUGUGUGAGAGAGAGAAAGUGUGUGUGUAGGUGUGCGUGUGUCUGUAUGUGUGACAGUGUCUUCCAUCACAUCAAACUCUCCUAUUCAUUAUGAGCAGUGCAAUAAAGACUAUUUCUAAAUGAUCGGCACUUUCUCAUUUUCUGACUUUUCCACGGCGCGUGUCAGAGCUGUCUCAGAUCUCUGAUUAGAUGGACGCACGGCAAAGGCACCUCCUCGAGGC